UACGUAGGUGGCGAGCGUUGUCCGGAUUUAUUGGGCGUAAAGCGCGCGCAGGUGGUGCGGUAAGUCUGUCGUGAAAUCUCCUGGCUCAACUGGGAGGGUGCGGUGGAGACUGCCGGACUGGAGGCACACAGAGGCCGGUGGAAUUCCCGGUGUAGUGGUGAAAUGCGUAGAGAUCGGGAGGAACACCAGUGGCGAAGGCGGCCGGCUGGGGGUGACCUGACGCUGAGGCGCGAAAGCGUGGGGAGCGAACCGG
rnacentral:rRNA from 1 species